rnacentral:rRNA from 1 species
CUGGCUCAGAUUGGAACGACCUGGCGGCAUGCCUUACACAUGCAAGUCGAACGGCAGCACGGGAGCAAUCCUGGUGGCGAGUGGCACGGGUGAGUAAUGUAUAGGUAAUAUGCCUCUUACUAAGGGAUAACAAAUGGAAACGUUUGCUAAUACCUUAUACUCCUUAUUAACAGAAGUUAAUAAGGGAAAGAUUUAUUGGUAAGAGAUUAGCCUGUAUUGUAUCAGUUAGUUGGUGGGGUAAUGGCUUACCAAGACUAUGACACAUAACUGGUUUGAGAGGAUGAUCAGUCACACUGGAACUGAGACACGGUCCAGACUCCUACGGGAGGCAGCAGUGGGGAAUAUUGCACAAUGGACGAAAGUCUGAUGCAGCAACGCCGCGUGGAGGAUGACACAUUUCGGUGCGUAAACUCCUUUUAUAUGAGAAGAUAAUGACGGUAUUAUAUGAAUAAGCACCGGCUAACUCCGUGCCAGCAGCCGCGGUAAUACGGG